AUUGAACGCUGGCGGCAGGCCUAACACAUGCAAGUCGAACGAGUGGCGGACGGGUGAGUAAUGUCUGGGAAACUGCCCGAUGGAGGGGGAUAACUACUGGAAACGGUCGCUAAUACCGCAUACAAUCGGAUGAGCCCAGAUGGGAUUAGCUAGUAGGUGGGGUAAUGGCUCACCUAGGAGACGAUCCCUAGCUGGUCUGAGAGGAUGACAAGCAACACUGGAACUGAGAGACGGACCAGACUCAUACGGGAGGAAGCAGUGGGGAAUAUUGCACAAUGGGCGCAAGCCUGAGGCAGCCAGGCCGCGUGUAUGAAGAAGGCCUUCGGGUUGUAAAGUACUUGCAGCGGGGAGGCGUUACUCGCAGAAGAAGCACCGGCUAACUCCGUGCCAGCCGCCGCGGUAAUAC
rnacentral:rRNA from 1 species